ACAGCCCUCUUUCAUUCAUUCCCUUCCUUCUUGCUUGGCAUCGCCUUCACUUCACAUAGACAAAGAGCUGCGGCCGCACCAUUUCAUUCACCAAGCCGCCGCCGAUGCCACCAAGCUGCCGCCAAGCUUACUUUUCGCUUGUAUCGGCGGUGUUUCUCUGCUUCACAAGCUUGCGCUCUUGCUCAGUCAUUCAAAGCCAGGUUUCAUGUUGUCUUUACCAGCUAGAAGUUCUCAGAGUUAGUCACAUUUUAACUCGGGUAGUCCAGGACCUCAGGAUAAGCUAGCCUAUCAAACAGCACCUGUAGGGCAGAAGAGAGAAAAGCUCGACCCAUCAAUGAUCCAGCCAUGUUUUCUUCUUAAUUUGCAAGAAUGGGGAGUUAUUGGCUCAAAGAUAAUGGCAGCGGGGAGAACCAGUAACUAACACUAAGAUUUGUUUAUGUGAGUUAGCCUAUUGAUUUCUUCUCUUAGUUAGUGGAUUGCUUACUUUUUACACAUUUAUCUAAAGGUAGAUGGUGAACUUUGGAUUUCAUUGAUUGAUUGAUCCUAUAAAAUAUAUAGAACAUAAUUAUAUGAGAUGGAAACUUUUAACUUGUAUUAAUUUAUUGAU